rnacentral:tRNA from 1 species
GGGCGCUUAGCUCAGUUGGUAGAGCAGCUGACUCUUAAUCAGCGGGUCGUAGGUUCGAUCCCUACAGCGCCCA